UGGGGAAUAUUGCACAAUGGGCGCAAGCCUGAUGCAGCCAUGCCGCGUGUGUGAAGAAGGCCUUCGGUUGUAAAGCACUUUCAGCGAGGAGGAAGGUGGUGAGCUUAAUACGCUCAUCAAUUGACGUUACUCGCAGAAGAAGCACCGGCUAACUCCGUGCCAGCAGCCGCGGUAAUACGGAGGGUGCAAGCGUUAAUCGGAAUUACUGGGCGUAAAGCGCACGCAGGCGGUUUGUUAAGUCAGAUGUGAAAUCCCCGGGCUCAACCUGGGAACUGCAUUUGAAACUGGCAAGCUAGAGUCUCGUAGAGGGGGGUAGAAUUCCAGGUGUAGCGGUGAAAUGCGUAGAGAUCUGGAGGAAUACCGGUGGCGAAGGCGGCCCCCUGGACGAAGACUGACGCUCAGGUGCGAAAGCGUGGGGCAGCAAACAGGAUUAGAUACCCUGGUAGUCCAGCGCUGUAAACGAUGUCGAUUUUGGAGGUUGUGCCCUUGAGGCGUGGCUUCCGGAGCUAACGCGUU
rnacentral:rRNA from 1 species